rnacentral:rRNA from 1 species
GGCCCUGCUUGCAGGGUACUCGAGUGGCGAACGGGUGAGUAACACGUGGGUGAUCUGCCCUGCACUUCGGGAUAAGCUUGGGAAACUGGGUCUAAUACCGGAUAGGAACCAUCUUUAGUGUGGUGGUUGGAAAGUUUUUUCGGUGUAGGAUGAGCUCGCGGCCUAUCAGCUUGUUGGUGGGGUAAUGGCCUACCAAGGCGGCGACGGGUAGCCGGCCUGAGAGGGUGUACGGCCGCAUUGGGACUGAGAUACGGCCCAGACUCCUACGGGAGGCAGCAGUGGGGAAUAUUGCACAAUGGGCGCAAGCCUGAUGCAGCGACGCCGCGUGGGGGAUGAAGGCCUUCGGGUUGUAAACUCCUUUCGCUAGGGACGAAGCUUUUUGUGACAGUACCUAGAUAAGAAGCACCGGCUAACUACGUGCCAGCAGCCGCGGUAAUACGUAGGGUGCGAGCGUUGUCCGGAAUUACUGGGCGUAAAGGGCUCGUAGGUGGUUCGUCGCGUCGUCUGUGAAAUUCUGGGGCUUAACUCCGGGCGUGCAGGCGAUACGGGCAUAACUUGAGUGCUGUAGGGGUAGCUGGAAUUCCUGGUGUAGCGGUGAAAUGCGCAGAUAUCAGGAGGACACCGAUGGCGAAGGCAGGUUACU